GCCUCUCUAGAGACCGGUUUGGAGGAAAUCCGCGUGUAUACGCUGUUAUUUGGAAAUCUGUACCCAUUCAAUCCAUCACUAUAGUGCAGGCGCCUGGUGCCCCUGAGGAUUGCGGUAUUUUUUUCCUUUUUCUUCUAUAUUUUCUUCUAUAUUUUCAGGGAUUGUAUUCCGACGCUUAAGAAGCGUAUGGAUGUGGUGAGUAACUUUUUGCUCUAUAUUCACAUCAGUUGAAAGGAGGUUUAUUUGUUUACCUGGUGAUCUGCUGUUCGCAGCGGAGGGGAAUCGGUCACCUGUCUUUAUCUGUGCGUUCGCGCAUAGAUAGGUGUUGCAUAAAAAAAAAAA